CCUACGGGAGGCAGCAGUGAGGAAUAUUGGUCAAUGGACGAGAGUCUGAACCAGCCAAGUAGCGUGAAGGAUGAAUGCCCUAUGAGUUGUAAACUUCUUUUAUAUGGGAAUAAAAUGUUCCACGUGUGGGAUUUUGUAUGUACCAGAUGAAUAAGGAUCGGCUAACUCCGGGCCAGCAGCCGCGGUAAUACGGAGGAUCCGAGCGUUAUCCGGAUUUUUUGGGUUGAAAGGGAGCGUAGGUGGAGUGUUAAGUCAGUUGUGAAAGUUUGCGGCUCAACCGUAAAAUUGCAGUUGAAACUGGCAGUCUUGAGUACAGUAGAGGUGGGCGGAAUGCGUGGUGUAGCGGUGAAAUGCUUAGAUAUCACGAGGAACUCCGAUUGCGAAGGCAGUUCACUGGACUGCAACUGACACUGAGGCUCGAAAGUGUGGGUAUCAAACAGGAUUAGAUACCCGUGUAGUC
rnacentral:rRNA from 1 species